AUGGAACAAUCUUACAUGCAAUUGUCACAAAAUUUUUAUGAAGCCAUGAAAGCUUGUGCAUCUCUAAGGUCGAUACCCAUUGCCAGAAAACUCCAUGGCCAACUCAUUUCUGUAGGAUUGGACUCUGCCAUUUUCCUCCAGAACCAUCUCUUGCACAUGUACUCCCGUUGCAGUUUGAUAGAUGAUGCUCGCCGAAUUUUCUUUAGUAUUCAACGUCCUAAUGUGUUUAGUUGGAAUACAAUGAUUAGCGCGUUGGUAGACUUGGGUCACAUGGGGGAGGCAGAGACUUUGUUCAAUAAAAUGCCUGAGAGAGAUACCGUCUCCUGGACGACAAUGAUGUCUGGCUAUUUUCAUAAUGGGCAACCUGAGGAUGCAAUUAAAGUGUUUGCUUCAAUGGUAUGGAAUCGUGACAGUUUCUAUGACCCCUAUUUUCCUUCUCUUGUGUAAUGAAGGCUUGUGGUAGCCUUGGUCACAUUAAGUUGGCCCUUCAGUUGCAUAGUCUACUGGAGAAAUUAUAUUUUGGAGGCAAUAUGGUUAUUCAUAAUUCGGUAAUUGAUAUGUACAUCAAGUGUGGUGCACUUCGAUUGGCUGAGAAGCUAUUUAUGAGGAUCCCUAAUCCUAGUUUGUUUUGUUGGAACAGUAUGAUCUAUGGUUGCUCAAAACUUUAUGGGGUCAGAAGGGCUCUCCAUAUGUUCAUUGAAAUGCCUGAACGUGAUUGUGUGUCUUGGAAUACCAUAAUAUCAAUCUUUUCUCAACAUGGUUUUGGGGUUGAGAGUCUCAGUAUGUUUGUUGAGAUGUGGAAUCAUGGUUUUAGACCAAAUGCUAUGAUAUAUGCCACUGUACUCAGUGCAUGUGCACGUAUACAUGAUCUUGAAUGGGGGUUGUCAUUUGCAUGCUAGGAUACUCCGUAUGGAACCAAGCAUGGAUGUUUUCAUGGGUAGCGGGCUGGUUGAUAUGUAUGUGAAAUGUGGACAGUUGCAUCUUGCAAGGCAGGUGUUUGACAAUAUGACAGAACACAAUGCAGUUUCUUGGACUUCUAUGAUCAGUGGAGUCAUGCAUUUUGGGCUCAAAGAUGAAGCUUUAGUACUGUUUAAUCGAAUGAGAAAGGCUCCUGUCGUCUUGGAUGAGUUUACUCUUGCGACAGUUCUUGGGGUUUGUUCAGGCCAUGAACAUGCUUGCGUUGGGGAGCAGCUCCAUGGAUAUACAAUCAAGGGUGGAAUGAUCUCCUCUAUUCCUGUAGGGAAUGCCCUUGUUACAAUGUAUGCAAAAUGUGGAAAUACUGAUAAAGCCAACCAAACAUUUGAGUUGAUGCCUGCUAAAGAUAUAAUAUCAUGGACAUCCAUGAUCACAGCACUCUCUCAAACUGGUAAUGUUGAAAAAUCCCGAGAAUAUUUUGAUAAAAUGCCAGAGCGAAAUGUCAUAAGUUGGAACUCAAUGUUGGGAACAUAUUUCCAAAAUGGUUUAUGGGAAGAAGGCCUAAAAUUGUAUACUUUAAUGCGAAGGGUGGGGGUUAACCCGGAUUGGAUCACACUAGUAACUUCAAUCAGUUCCUGUGCUGAUUUAGCAAUAUUGAAACUUGGGGUGCAGAUUAUAGCUCAAGCUGAAAAAUUAGGAUUUGGUUCUAAUGUUUCAGUCAUGAAUAGCAUUAUUACUAUGUAUUCAAGAUGUGGACGAGUUAUAGAAGCAAAAGGAGUUUUUGAUUCAAUAUGUGAUAAAAAUUUGGUCUCUUGGAAUGCACUUAUGGCAGGAUAUGCUCAAAAUGGACAAGGUAGGAAGGUGAUCGAGGUUUUUGAGCAUAUGUUGAAAAUGGACUGCCCACCUGAUCAUAUAAGCUAUGUAUCUGUUCUAUCAGGUUGUGGCCAUUCAGGGCUUGUAACAGAGGGGAAACACUACUUCAGUUCUAUGACCGAAGAUUUUGGCAUCAAUCCUACAUGUGAACAUUUUGCCUGUAUGGUAGAUCUACUUGGUCGAGCUGGGUUACUAACGGAGGCCAGGAAUUUGAUUGACGCAAUGCCGUUUAAGCCAAAUGCUGCUAUCUGGGGGGCUCUUCUUGGUGCUUGCCGGCUUCAUCGCAAUUAUAAUCUAGCAGAAUUUGCAGCGAGAAAUUUACUUGAAUUAGAUUUGGAUGAUUCUGGCAGUUAUGUCCUUCUAGCUAAUACAUAUUCAGAUUGUGGACAACUAGAAGCUUUUGCAGAUGUAAGAAAACAGAUGAGAAAGAAAGGAAUAGAGAAAAAUCCUGGCUGUAGCUGGAUAGAGGUUAAUAAUAGGGUACAUGUGUUUACCGUAGAUGACACUAAUCAUCCACAAAUCAAGGAUGUUUAUAGAAUACUGGAGGAGAUAGUCAAGAAGAUAGAAGAUACAGGAUGCUAUGUCAGUUCAAGUACUGAAGUUCGUUCUCAGCUCCAUCAUAGUGAGAAGCUUGCUAUUGCUUUUGGGCUGCUUAGCUUGCCUGCGUGGAUGCCGAUAAAUGUAAUGAAAAAUCUUCGAGUUUGCCAUGAUUGUCACUUGGUAAUCAAGCUGAUCUCUGUUGUUACCUCAAGGGAACUUAUAGUGCGGGAUGGACACCGGUUUCAUCAUUUCAAGGAUGGAUGUUGCUCCUGUGGAGACUACUGGUGAUCUCGGGAUUUACAACUGGAGAACUCUGAUAAAGUCAAAAACGUGGUAUCUAUUUUAGUGAGAGGCCUCUCUCCCCACGUUUCUUGGCUUCAUGGAGGGCAUGCCUUCCUGAAUUGCCUUCUUUUCUCCAGGUGAUCCAGGGAUUCGAGGGAAAUCAUAGCCAUCUGCCGUUUCUUGCUCCGGCGACAUGGUGAUGGCCAUCGUGAAGCAGCAAAAGCCGGAUCUAAGAAAAAGGUGCUGCCCACCCUUUUUACAAUAUUGACCGACUGCAGAGGUAUAUGAGUUUUUCAAUUAUAGAUUUAACUGCUGAAAAUUUGAUGGGUUCAUCUUGUCCCUUGUUUUGGUUGUUGUCAUGCAGUGGGUGAAUUCAACCUGAGUAUGCAAGGAUCACCAUCAUGAUGCACGCCAAGUUUAACUGGAAGAACCUCAACCAGAUCGACCCUAUCAGGAUAUGAUUUUAGAGUUUCAAACGAUGUAUGGGUAUGUGCAUUUCAUCUCUAAUUGAACCCAUCCCAAAAUCCAUCCCCGAGUUGGAGGCUGAAACCAUGACUGAACCCAAGAACAUAUGAUAUCAUCGUUGACACUGAUCAUCGCUGAACCCAUCCAU